rnacentral:SRP_RNA from 1 species
UGGAGGCCCGGGCUGGGCGGUUGCGCGUCGCCUGUAACCCGAAAUCGUGCUUAUGCGGGAGCCUAUGACUCGAGGGCGGCAUAUGCUAUUGCGAGGACUCCAAAGCUCUAGCGUAGAAGCCCAGUCCUUCAGGAUAUUUGCUGUAAUGAACCAGGUCAGGUCAGGAAUGAAGCAGCCUUAAGUUAUAGCAAGUGUGCUUGAAGGGUUGCUGGGUGGAGCAAGGCUUUGGAACAAUCCUCAAGGUAGCGUAUGUCCACCAAGAGUCGGGCCUCCA